rnacentral:tRNA from 10 species
CGGGACGUGGCGCAGUCUGGUAGCGCACUCGGCUGGGGGCCGAGUGGUCGCCGGUUCGAAUCCGGCCGUCCCGA